GAUGAACGCUGGCGGCGUGCCUAAUACAUGCAAGUCGAGCGAACAGACGCGAUGCUUGUUCCUCUGACGUUAGCGGCGGCCGGGUGAGUAACACGUGGAUACCCUACCUAUCAGACUGGGAUAACUUCGGGAAACCGGAGCUAACACUGGAUAAUAUAUUGAACCGCAUGGUUCAAUAGUGAAUGCCGGUUUUGCUGUAACUUAUAGAUGGACCCGCGGCGCAUUAGCUAGUGGGUAAGGUAACGGCUUACCAAGGCGCCGACGCGUAGCCGACACGAGAGGAGGAGCGGCGAACCUGAAAGGGGGACACGGUCCAGACUCCUAGAGAAGGAACCAGUAGGGAAUCUUCCGGGAGGGGCGAAGGACUGACGAAGCGACGCGGCGGGAGGGAUGAAGGACGUCGGAUCGUAGAGCGCUGUCAUUAGGGAAGAACAAAUGUGUAAGUGACUAGGAACGUCUUGAAGGGACCUAGUCAAAAAAGCACGGCUAAAUUCGGGC
rnacentral:rRNA from 1 species